rnacentral:rRNA from 1 species
GAUGAACGCUGGCGGCGUGCCUAAUACAUUCAAGUCGAGCGAACAGACGAGGAGCUUGCUCCUCUGACGUUAGCGGCGAACUGUUGAGUAACACGUGGAUAACCUACCUAUAAGACUGGGAUAACUUCGGGAAACCGUAGCUAAUACCGGAUAAUAUAUUGAACCGCAUGGUUCAAUAGUUAAAGACGGUUUUGCUGUCACUUAUAGAUGGAUCCGCGUCGCAUUAGCUAGUUGGUAAGGUAACGGGUUACCAAGGCAACGAUGCGUAGCCGACCUGAGAGGGUGAAAGGCAACACUGGAAAUGAGACACGGACGAGACAACAACGGGAGGCAGCAGUAGGGAAGCUAGAACGAUGGGCGAAAGCCUGAAGGAGCAACGCCGCGUGAGUGAUGAAGGUCUGCGGAUCGUAAAACUAUGUUAAAAGGGAAGAACAAAUGUGGAAGAAAAGAUGAACGUAUUGACGGUAACUAAGCAGAAAGCCACGGCUAAAUACG